AUGUGGCAGUUUUGCAUUCUGUGCCUCUGUGUACUCAUGGCUUUUGUGACUACAGACCCCACAGUGACUUUUCUGGAACAAAAACCGAGGUGGGGUCUGGUACCACGUGGUCAAGCUGCGAACCUGAGCUGCAUCUUGAAGGAUUCCCAGUAUCCCUGGCUGAGCUGGUAUCAGCAGGAUCUCCAAAAGCAACUACAGUUGCUGGUCACUCUGCGAAGUCCUGGGGACAAAGAGGUCAAAUCUCUUCCUGGUGCUGAUUACCUGGCCACACGGGUCAGUGAUACAGAGCUGAGGCUGCAAGUAGCCAACCUGAGCCAGGGCAGAACUCUGUACUGCACCUGCAGUAGAGACACAGUGGUAAACUCUGCUGGGGCAUUGGAACAAAAACCACACAUACACCCUGCCCUCCCCUCCAACCUUUGUUCCUCUGCAAGCCCUUCUGAGCUUUCUUCUAUUCUACCCAGACUUCCCCAUGACCUUGUCCUAGCAAAGAGUGCCCUCUACUUGCUGAUUAGCCACUUUUUCUGUUUGUGUCUGAUUUAUUCUGUGACUCAAGGAGAUCAGAGCAUAGACUUUAGGUCUUCCAUUGUGAGAUUGGAAGAUGUCCUUAUCCUCCUAUAUUGUAGUUUCCGAUUUGCGGAUGUAGACAGCUAA